AUGUGCCCUGAACAUAAAUCAAACCAGCGACCUUUUGGUUUGUGGGAGGAUCCCCAACCAACUGAGCCACAAGUCUAGGGCUUGAUCUAGAAAUUUUUUAAAAAUCUCAUUAACUCAACAACAAAUAUGCUUAAGACCUUAACAAAAACACCUUAGUGGUGAUAAUUCCAUCUUUGAUUCUGAUUUCAGUCUUAUCCAGUUCUUUCCUUAAAUGUAAACAAAGAUUCCUAUUAACAAAUUAAAAUAACUGUCCACAUCAAGUUACACACAGCACUACAUUCAACCAAAAACUGGUAGAUAAAUUAUUUGACAGAGUUAUAUGAGACUUUCAAGUGUGCAAGAAAGUCUGAGGCAUCUAAAUUCUGAAAUCACCACGCUCUUUAGAUGACAUAAAACCAGUAGAAUAGAGCAGGUAAAAUUGAGAUCAUCCCUAAACAUCCAGAGCACAACAGUUGCUAGAUUCAUGGGACAGGAUUAGAAAAUCCUGCCAUUACUUAAAGUCACAUUAAAUAAAUACACACAUAUACAAACACAUAUAC